rnacentral:rRNA from 1 species
AUUGAACGCUGGCGGCAUGCCUUACACAUGCAAGUCGAACGGCAGCGGACCUUCGGGUGCCGGCGAGUGGCGAACGGGUGAGUAACAUAUCGGAACGUACCUUUCAGUGGGGGAUAACGUAGCGAAAGUUACGCUAAUACCGCAUAUUCUGUGAGCAGGAAAGCAGGGGAUCGCAAGACCUUGCGCUGAUUGAGCGGCCGAUAUCAGAUUAGCUAGUUGGUGAGGUAAAGGCUCACCAAGGCGACGAUCUGUAGCGGGUCUGAGAGGAUGAUCCGCCACACUGGAACUGAGACACGGUCCAGACUCCUACGGGAGGCAGCAGUGGGGAAUUUUGGACAAUGGGCGCAAGCCUGAUCCAGCCAUGCCGCGUGAGUGAAGAAGGCCUCGG